rnacentral:tRNA from 1 species
GCCUUGAUAGCUCAGUUGGCUAGAGCGUUGGUCUCAUACAGUGUGACCCGGGUUCGACUCCCGGUUACAAACUUGUAUGACCAGAUCAUCAUCCUUGGGAUAUCCAGAGGUCACGGGUUCGAGCCCCGUUCGAGGCA